GAUUAACGCUGGCGGCGUGCAUAACACAUGCAAGUCGAACGAUGAAACUUAAAUGAUUUCUUCGGAAUGAACUUAAGUGGAUUAGUGGCGGACGGGUGAGUAACGCGUGAGUAACCUGCCUUACACAAGGGGAUAGCCGUUGGAAACGACGAAUAAUACCCUAUGAAACUAUCACUUCGCAUGAAGCGAUAGUCAAAGUGUUAGCGGUGUAAGAUGGACUUGCGUCUGAUUAGCUAGUUGGUGAGAAAAAAGCCCACCAAGGCAACGAUCAGUAGCCGGCUUGAGAGAGUGUACGGCCACAUUGGGACUGAGACACGGCCCAGACUCCUACGGGAGGCAGCAGUGGGGAAUUGUGCACAAUGGGGGAAACCCUGAUGCAGCGACGCCGCGUGAUUGAGAAGGCCUUCGGGUUGUAAAAAUCUUUUGUAUAGGAAGAAAAUGACAGUACUAUACGAAUAAGGUCCGGCUAAUUACGUG
rnacentral:rRNA from 1 species